CCUACGGGUGGCAGCAGUGGGGAAUAUUGGGCAAUGGGCGCAAGCCUGACCCAGCAACGCCGCGUGAAGGAAGAAGGCUUUCGGGUUGUAAACUUCUUUUAUCAGGGACGAAGCAAGUGACGGUACCUGAUGAAUAAGCCACGGCUAACUACGUGCCAGCAGCCGCGGUAAUACGUAGGUGGCAAGCGUUAUCCGGAUUUACUGGGUGUAAAGGGCGUGUAGGCGGGAGUGCAAGUCAGAGGUGAAAACUAUGUGCGGAAACCAUAGCCUGCAUUUGAAACUGUACUUCUUGAGUGCUGGAGAGGCAAGCGGAAGUCCAUGGGAAGCAGUGAAAUGAGUAGAGAUACGGAAGAAGACCAGAGGCGAAGGAUGAUUACUG
rnacentral:rRNA from 1 species